GGAGCUUGCUCCACCGAAAGAAAAAGAGUGGCGAACGGGUGAGUAACACGUGGGUAACCUGCCCAUCAGAAGGGGAUAACACUUGGAAACAGGUGCUAAUACCGUAUAACACUAUUUUCCGCAUGGAAGAAAGUUGAAAGGCGCUUUUGCGUCACUGAUGGAUGGACCCGCGGUGCAUUAGCUAGUUGGUGAGGUAACGGCUCACCAAGGCAACGAUGCAUAGCCGACCUGAGAGGGUGAUCGGCCACACUGGGACUGAGACACGGCCCAGACUCCUACGGGAGGCAGCAGUAGGGAAUCUUCGGCAAUGGACGAAAGUCUGACCGAGCAACGCCGCGUGAGUGAAGAAGGUUUUCGGAUCGUAAAACUCUGUUGUUAGAGAAGAACAAGGAUGAGAGUAAAAUGUUCAUCCCUUGACGGUAUCUAACCAGAAAGCCACGGCUAACUACGUGCCAGCAGCCGCGGUAAUACGUAGGUGGCAAGCGUUGUCCGGAUUUAUUGGGCGUAAAGCGAGCGCAGGCGGUUUCUUAAGUCUGAUGUGAAAGCCCCCGGCUCAACCGGGGAGGGUCAUUGGAAACUGGGAGACUUGAGUGCAGAAGAGGAGAGUGGAAUUCCAUGUGUAGCGGUGAAAUGCGUAGAUAUAUGGAGGAA
rnacentral:rRNA from 1 species